AUUGAACGCUGGCGGCAUGCCUUACACAUGCAAGUCGAACGGUAACAGGUCUUCGGAUGCUGACGAGUGGCGAACGGGUGAGUAAUACAUCGGAACGUGCCCGAUCGUGGGGGAUAACGGAGCGAAAGCUUUGCUAAUACCGCAUACGAUCUACGGAUGAAAGCAGGGGACCGCAAGGCCUUGCGCGGACGGAGCGGCCGAUGGCAGCUUAGGUAGUUGGUGGGAUAAAAGCUUACCAAGCCGACGAUCUGUAGCUGGUCUGAGAGGACGACCAGCAACACGGGGAAUGAGACACGGCCCAGACUCCUACGGGAGGCAGCAGUGGGGAAUUUUGGACAAUGGGCGAAAGCCUGAUCCAGCCAUGCCGCGUGCAGGAUGAAGGCCUUCGGGUUGUAAACUGCUUUUGUACGGAACGAAAAGACUCUUUCUAAUAAAGAGGGUCCAUGACGGUACCGUAAGAAUAAGCACCGGCUAACUACGU
rnacentral:rRNA from 1 species